GACUUCUUAGCUCAGCCGGUAGAGCAACUGACUCUUAAUCAGUGGGUCCGGAGUUCGAUCCUCCGAGGGGUCACC
rnacentral:tRNA from 1 species